rnacentral:rRNA from 1 species
AGGGUUUGGAAUCCUGGGCUCAGGAUGAACGCUAGCGGCAGGCCUAAUACAUGCAAGUCGAACGAGACUUAGUAGCAAUACUAAGUUUAGUGGCGCACGGGUGCGUAACGCGUAGCCAACCUACCCUUUACUGGGGGAUAGCCCGGGGAAACCCGGAUUAAUACCGCAUAAUAUAUUUUUGUGGCAUCACAGAGAUAUUAAAUUCCAGGAGGUAAAGGAUGGGCAUGCGUCUGAUUAGCUAGUUGGUGAGGUAAACGGCUCACCAAGGCGACGAUCAGUAGGGGUUCUGAGAGGAAGAUCCCCCACACUGGCACUGAGAUACGGGCCAGACUCCUACGGGAGGCAGCAGUAGGGAAUAUUGGGCAAUGGUCGAGAGACUGACCCACCAUGCCGCGUGAAGGAAGAAGGCUUUCUGAAUUGUAACUUCUU